rnacentral:rRNA from 1 species
UACAUGGGGUGCAAACGUUGCUCGGAAUUAUUGGGCGUAAAGCGCACGUAGGCGGUUCGUUAAGUCGGAUGUGAAAGCCCUCGGCUUAACUGAGGAAGUGCACCCGAAACUGAGUAGCUAGAGUACGAAAGAGGGUCGCGGAAUUCCCGGUGUAGAGGUGAAAUUCGUAGAUAUCGGGAGGAACACCGGUGGCGAAGGCGGCGACCUGGGUCGAGACUGACGCUGAGGCGCGAAAGCGUGGGGAGCAAACAGG